CAGCAGCCGCGGUAAUGCGAAGGGGGCUAGCGUUGCUCGGAAUCACUGGGCGUAAAGGGUGCGUAGGCAGGUCUUUAAGUCAGGGGUGAAAUCCUGGAGCUCAACUCCAGAACUGCCUUUGAUACUGAAGAUCUUGAGUUCGGGAGAGGUGAGUGGAACUGCGAGUGUAGAGGUGAAAUUCGUAGAUAUUCGCAAGAACACCAGUGGCGAAGGCGGCUCACUGGCCCGAUACUGACGCUGAGGCACGAAAGCGUGGGGAGCAAACAGGAUUAGAUACCCCUGUAGUCCCUGUCUCUUAUAC
rnacentral:rRNA from 1 species